UGUGAAAGCUGUGGCACAGAGAGCUAAAAGAGCAUCUGAUGCUGCCUGCAGAGGCCAGGAUGAGUCUGCUGGAACAGAGAAAGCCAAGAACACCAGAGAUCACCAGCACAGGAAUUGCUCCAUUUGGUAUAGUGAAUCCUCUUCCUUAAUCCUCAAUGCCAUUAAGAUGGGGACAUCUGGGAAAUCAACCCCAUGAGAGAUCAGGAGAGGUGCCUGAGCACUGAGGGAGAGUAAAUGUCACCUCAGUCUUCAAAAGGGGCAAGGAGGACCCAGGGAAUACCAGCCAGCCAGCCAAACUCAGUCACUGGAAAUGUGACAGAGUGCCUCAAGAUGAAGGCCAGCUCUAUCCACAUGGAUGACAAGAAGGGGAUCAGGAGUAGUCAGCAUGGAUUCACAAGGGUAAAUCAUGCUUGACCUGAUGGCCUUCCAUGAUGAGACAACUACCUGGAUGGAUGAGGGCAGAGCAGUGUGUAUUGGCUACCUCAACUUUAACAAGGCUUUUAACUCUGCCUCUCACAAUGUCCUCAUAGGUAAAUUCAGGAAGUGUGGACUGGAUGAGUGGACAGCAAGUUGGAUUGAGAACUGCCUGAAUGGCACAUCCAGAGGGACAAAAUCCAUAGAAGAGGGUCUAGCUGGAGGCUUGUCACUAGUGGUGUCUGCCAAGGUCACUAUAGGGUCCAGAAUUGUUUCACUUGUUCAUCAGUGACUUGGGGGGAGGGGUGGAUGCCUCCUCAGCAAAUUCACUGACAACUCAAAGCUGGGAGGAGUGGCCAAUACCCAAGAGUGUUGUGCUGACAUUCAGAAGGAUCUUAAGAGGUUGGAGAGAAGGGCAGAGAAGAACUGUCUGAAGUUCAACAAAGACAAAUGCAGAGUCCUGCACCAGUAAGGCUGGAGGCCAAACUGCUGGAAAGCAGCUCUGUGGAGAAGGACCUGUGGGUCCUGGUGGACAACAAGCUGUCCAUGAGCCAGCAGUGAGCCCCUGUGGCCAAGAAGACCGAUGGUCUCCUCGGGUGCAUUAGGAAGAGCAUUGCCAGCAGGUGGAGGGAGGUGAUCCUGACCCUCUACUCAGCCUGGUGAGGCACAUCUGGAGUGCUGUGUGCAGUUCUGGGUUCCUCAGGGCAAGAGUGAUGGUGCUCCAGGACAGUGUUUCUGGAGCAGGUUCAGCAGAGGACAACAAAGAGUUGUCUUCUGCCUUGAGAAGAUGACUGAGAAGGGAGCUCUUCAAUGUAUAUAAGUACAGGAAGGGAGGGUGUCUAGAGUAGGGAGGCAGGCUCUUCUCAAUGGUACCAAACAAUAAGGCCAGAGGCAACAGUGAAAAACUGAUUGUCCCGGGUUGACUUUAUGAUACUGGUAUCCCCAAAUGGCCUGGUUUAUGUUAUAUAUUAAGUUCUGCAGCUUUAAGGCUGGCUUUGAGAGUUAGGGAAGUUGAAACUGCUGGAGGCUGAUGGGAGUUUUAUCUCCUAGCCAAUAACUAACCAUUUCUGAGACUUGACAGUGAUUUUGACAACUGAAAAGUGAGAUCAACCUGUGAACACCUACCUUAAGGUGUAAGCCCAGGAAUUUCUGGCUCUUUUUGGUUUCCGGCUUCGGAAGAGGUACCAGGCUCCUGCUCAGCCUCUUCCCCCACCCCCAGGCUGGACAAAUCAGCAGAGGGGUGGCGGGGGGAAAGCGGGGUCAGCUGGGCUCAGGCUGGUUCCUGGCUUGGUUUGCAGUUUCUGCCGCUGAACUGAAACCUGACACCAUGAACAUUUGCAGCUUGAGCAAGACUUUAACUCUUUUACUACCUGGAUGAGACUUGCAGAUUAAUUUUUUGUUUUUCCCAGAGAGAGGGGAAGAGAGAGAGAUCUACAUGUAAGGAGACACCAUAAAACCAUCAAAGACAGUGAAGAAAGGAAUUAAGUUUUAGAGGGGGAAGAGAAAAUAAGGAGAUGCUUUAAUAAGCAGAAAUAUUUUUCUGUUAAAGCUAUGGAGAUGGAUAGUAGUGUUCUGAAAAAAACCAAAACUCCUUUAAUUCAUGACAGAGUAUAUUGGGAGGAAUGGAGUGUUCAAAGUGUAGAUUUUGAGCAAAUGGUGAAGUGGUUGUGAUCCUGUGAGAUGGUGGAACAGAGGGGAGAGAAGUAAUAGUUAAAGAUUUGGGACUGUUGAGAGGCAAAGAGAAGACUUCUGUUUCCAGAGAGGCUCACAAAAACAGAUGAAGAGAACUUUUGCCUUUGAAUAACUCAUCCUUAAAAAUGACAUCCCUAGACUCAUUGACCCAUAACACACCUCAGAGUGAUGUGAAAUGGGAGAGAACUGAUGACAGAUUUCCAGGCAGCUGGCAUCAGAGAAAUAGAAAGCUAUGAAGAAAAAUAGUUUUCUCGUGAAAAACUCCAUAGAUUACCAGAAGAAGACUUUUUUUUUUUUUUUCUCUACAAAGAUUGAUGAAAGGAUUAUAGCAAGAAUUGGGACUGUUUUAACCACCAAAGUUUUUUUGUGUCUAUGUUGU